UACGUAGGGCGCAAGCGUAUCCGGAAUUAUUGGGCGUAAAGAGCUCGUAGGCGGUUUGUCGCGUCUGCCGUGAAAGUCCGGGGCUCAACUCCGGAUCUGCGGUGGGUACGGGCAGACUAGAGUGAUGUAGGGGAGACUGGAAUUCCUGGUGUAGCGGUGAAAUGCGCAGAUAUCAGGAGGACACCGAUGGCGAAGGCAGGUCUCUGGGCAUUAACUGACGCUGAGGAGCGAAAGCAUGGGGAGCGAACAGG
rnacentral:rRNA from 1 species